rnacentral:rRNA from 1 species
GUCCGGCAAUGGAAGAAACUCUGACCGAGCAACGCCGCGUGAAUGACGAAGUACUUCGGUAUGUAAAGUUCUUUUAUCAAGGAAGAAAAGCAAAUGGCGAACCAUUUGUUUGCCGGUACUUGAUGAAUAAGCCCCGGCUAAUUAUGUGCCAGCAGCCGCGGUAAGACAUAAGGGGCAAGUGUUAUCCGGAAUUAUUGGGCGUAAAGGGUGCGUAGGCGGUCUAGUAAGUCAGUGGUGUAAUGGCAACGCUUAACGUUGUCCGGCUAUUGAAACUGCUAAACUUGAGUUAGAUAGAGGCGAGUGGAAUUCCAUGUGUAGCGGUAAAAUGCGUAAAUAUAUGGAGGAACACCAGAGGCGUAGGCGGCUCGCUGGGUCUUAACUGACGCUGAGGCACGAAAGCGUGGGGAGCAAACAGGAUUAGAUACCCUGGUAGUCCACGCCGUAAACGAUGAGUACUAAGUGUCGGGUUAAACCGGUACUGAAGUUAACACAUUAAGUACUCCGCCUGAGUAGUACGUACGCAAGUAUGAAACUUAAAGGAAUUGACGGGACUCCGCACAAGCGGUGGAUCAUGUUGUUUAAUUCGAAGAUACCCGAAAAACCUUACCAGGUCUUGACAUGUUUUUGCAAAAUGAUAGUAAUAUCGUGGAGGUUACCAGAAACACAGGUGGUGCAUGGUUGUCGUCAGCUCGUGUCGUGAGAUGUUAGGUUAAGUCCUAAAACGAGCGAAACCCUUAUCGUUAGUUGCCAGCACGUUAUGGUGGGGACUUUAACGAGACUGCCAAUGAUAAAUUGGAGGAAGGUGAGGAUCACGUCAAAUCAGCAUGCCCCUUAUGACCUGGGCUACAAACGUGAUACAAUGGCUGUUACAAGAAUUAGCUGAAAAAA